rnacentral:rRNA from 1 species
AUUGAACGCUGGCGGCAGGCCUAACACAUGCAAGUCGAGCGGAUGAAGGGAGCUUGCUCCAGGAUUCAGCGGCGGACGGGUGAGUAAUGCCUAGGAAUCUGCCUGGUAGUGGGGGAUAACGUCCGGAAACGGGCGCUAAUACCGCAUACGUCCUGAGGGAGAAAGUGGGGGAUCUUCGGACCUCACGCUAUCAGAUGAGCCUAGGUCGGAUUAGCUAGUUGGUGGGGUAAAGGCCUACCAAGGCGACGAUCCGUAACUGGUCUGAGAGGAUGAUCAGUCACACUGGAACUGAGACACGGUCCAGACUCCUACGGGAGGCAGCAGUGGGGAAUAUUGGACAAUGGGCGAAAGCCUGAUCCAGCCAUGCCGCGUGUGUGAAGAAGGUCUUCGGAUUGUAAAGCACUUUAAGUUGGGAGGAAGGGCAGUAAGUUAAUACCUUGCUGCUUUGACGUUACCAACAGAAUAAGCACCGGCUAACUUCGUG